UGGAAAAACAAGCUGAGCAGCACAGCGAAUGCAUGGUGUCAUGCAUUUUUGUGGACACAAUUUUAGUUUUACUAACAUUCAGGAUCAUGUGGAUAUAUGUGAAAGCAGAGCUCAAGAAUUGGGAGAAGCAGGCCCCUCUUUUACACGCACCCCCUCAGCCUCCACCUCUGUGGGCCGUACACCAUCAGAAGACACAAGACCUUUGGCAGUGCCAUUUGAAGAGUGGAAACUAGAGCCAGACUUGAAGACAGCAGCCAACACGUUUCGAGAUGCUGUUCUCCAAAGAGCCCCAAACAAGCCUAAAUUGAUGGUUACAUUAGAUCUUAAAAAGCAGUGAGACUGAUCGGGAGAGAGACGUUAUAUGUUUCUACAAGCAGGCCAAUAUUGACUGAUCCAGACCAUUUGAACCACGACUGAGGGGUACAUAAUUCCUGAGUACUUUUGUGUGUGUUUAUCAAUUUUUUCCUGUUUGAAUAAUGUUUAUGUAAUUCUUUUUUGUUCUUUUUAUAUA